UCCGCAUUAGUAUAUCGGCUAGUAUAUCCGCCUUUCACGCGGAGGAGACGGGUUCGACUCCCGUAUGCGGAA
rnacentral:tRNA from 1 species